GCAGGAGUGUGUAGGUGACAGGGAAUCACGGUGAGAGUGACUUGCGGAGCAGGACGCGUCUCCCGACUGAUCAGAGGAGCCAUGAAUGACCCCCCAGAAAGAGCCGCUGUGCUGUUAUAGGAGCCAGGAGACACAGUGAUGCUGGAUGAGGCCUUUACAGAUGAUGCAUGGAUGGAUGGACAUCUGAGAGUUGCCAUUAGUUGCCUCCCUGGAACGGAAGCCUCCGGAAAGGACUGACCUCCACGUCCAGACAAACACCUGCGUGCAAAUGAGACGGGAACAUAAGAACAUAAGAAAUUUACAAACGAGAGGAGGCCAUUCGGCCCGUCAAGCUCGUUUGGGGAGAACUUAGCUAAUGGCUCAGAGUUGUUAAAAUCUUAAAGGAAAUGCAUCCCUGUCUGUGUAAAAGACUCAGAGACUUAGCAGCCAGCAAACAAAUGAUCUCACUGCUGUUCUUAGGGGACCCUUUGUAAGACGAUAUCUAGCAAUAUGCAUUAAUAAAUGGAU